rnacentral:piRNA from 1 species
UAGACCCACCGUAGAUCAAUCAUCUA